CUCACUUCUCUUCCUGCUACUCUGACUGCAGCCUGAGCUCUUGGUGGAAGUUCUCUCCUGCUGGGUUAUUAUCCCGACUAACAGAUGGGGGAAAACAGAGCCGAAAGGAAGCCACUUAGAUGCUGCGGCGGCCGUCCUGCGAGGCAUGUCCUCCUGAGCUCUGGCAUUGGAGCCCUAGAGAUUCCCCACUGCAAGACCCAUGCUUAGCUGGCCACUCACCCCACUGCCACCCUGCUAGUGACACUGGAGAGCGCUGCACCGUGUGCUCGGCCAGCUCCCUGCAAUACUCCCAGUAUUCUACACUGAGUUCCUUUUGGUGGCUAUCGUCCCUCUCCAUCCAUCAAAUCCCUUGAUCUUCCUACAAUUUUAAGGAGCCUGGUGUCCUCUUGGAAAUGUUCCCAGAAAAAGAUGAGUCAACUGUGCCCACCACCUCUCCAAGCACAAGGGCUGGCUCCUUCCUGGCCUCCUCCCAGGUGCUUGGCACGGAACAAUUCUAAAGGCACUUUCCUCUACAGGGAACAAGCAUCCUGGUCUUCCCGAGCCAGCCUCAAAGGUGCUGAGCAUAUGGCCAAGGUCACACAGCUGGUAAACAAGGGAGCUAACCCUGGAGCCUGGGGUGACUCCUGUCCAGAGUCAGGAUCUGCCAUGAUUGAAAUGUCAGAGAUUGUACAGGCUGGCGGAUGUCACGCUGGAGCUUGGUGGGAAUAUUUACACCAUGGAAAUUGGCAAACACUACUAACCAGGGUCACCUAGUCCUGCCCAGGGCUGGUUGUUCCACAUUUCCCAGCAUACCACUGGCCAGAUCAACAAGCCUUCUUGGAAAGCUUGGUGAGUGUCUAGGCAAAUUAGACGUGCCAGGCUCCACAUUCCCAUAGCCCAUGGGCAGGCAAACUGGCGAGGCCUCUGUCGGUGGCUCUCUGGCUAGAGGUUAUACUCUUUGAGGCACUGUGAAAGAAACAAGGUAAGCAGUCUGCUUUCUAACCAUGCACCUCAAGUACCAGCUCAGUAAAUAGGAAGCGGGCACACAGUUAGCACAGCUGCGGGCCCAGCAGUGUUCUCUGAAUGCAGCCCUGCACAAGCCUCCCAGACCUGUCCCCCCAUUUCUGUAUCCAGAGAGGGUGUGGUCUCUGAGAGGUGUCCACCCCAGAUAUUCCAGGACUGGCCUUUAGGGAGGGCCAGAGUAGACAAGAUGGCAUCUACCACCUGCCACUGUGGCCCUCAGGACCGACGUGUCUGCUUGGCUGGGAGGCUGGGAAAACCAGUGGCUAAGCAAAGCAGCCCAGGAGGGAGGACUGGGGUGUCUCAGGAAAACUGAAAUCAGAGGGGCUACACACUCCCUGGCUGAAGGAAAAGCUCUUUAACGUAAGAAAGAAGGUCCGAGGCAGACAGAAUUCCAGUGGGCCACUACAGGGCAGUUCUGGUAAAGGGCAUGAAGUCUUACCAUGGUUUUUACGAACUACCUCUUUCCCAUCUAUGGCAUAUCAUGCCAUCUGCUAAUUUCCAACAGGUUUUCAAUAACAUUAAUACUUCCCUCUACUGAACAGCUGCUCGGGCCCAGACUCCAAGCUAGAUGCUUGACAUGUAUUAACUCAAUUAUUUUUCCCUGCAAUCUGAGGCAGUGGGCCAAUUUUAAGAUGAAGAGAUUGAGGCUCACAGGCUGAGGAACUUUUUCAUAUCAGGUAGUCAGAAAGUUGCAGAAGUAGGCUUUGAAUGCAGACCUGCCCGAAUCCCAAACCCAGAUUUCUUCAUUAAUCAGAGAGAAAGUUAUAUCUCCCUGUCCUCACUCACAAAACAGGGAAAUGAGGAUUCAGGCUUAUACGUCAGCUUUUUACCCGUUUCGCUGACACAUGUCAGCUCUCUGAUAGUCUCUGUGAGCACUGAGGAAGUCACAUUUGUGGGCCUGAAGAACCGAGGACCCGUCUUGGGAACUCAGGAGGAGGUAACACGUCUAUUUCAUCUUUCUUGCCUGGACUUUUGGAAUGGCUCGCUGGCUGCUCUCCCUGAACCUGCUCUUAUCCCAACACGAUUCACACCACAGCAGCCAGAGUGACUGAGCUACAGUAUGUCCUUCCAUGCGGCUGCCCAUGCCUGGUAGGGUGGCUGGCCACGCUCCAGGGAGGGGCAGCUCACAGUGACCCACAACCCUCACUCAAUCAACGUGUAAAGGAAGCUGCUGGAGCCCUGGGGUGGACGGCCAGCCUGUGCUGAGCGCCGGGCCACGCCACUCCAGUAACGGCCACAGCCUUGCAGGGGCCUCCAGGGCCCUUAUGAUGGGGGCUGCCUCGGAGGUGCACGCGGACCUGCCAGGUUUCCGCGACCACCUCUUGGUGGUCCCCAUUCCCAGGUUCAGUGGCAAGGCCUCGCUCAGGGACCUCUGUCCUCUCUGAGGACUCUGGCACUCCCGCCUCAGAGCUUCUGCUCUGGCCAGCUCUCCGCCUGAGCGCUCUUCCCACACAUCUGCACCCAAAUGUCACCUCACUGAGAUCUUUACUCAAAGCCCAGUGUCUUGGCCAGGCUGUCCCUCACUGCCACACUUUAACUGUCACCUCCAAACGCCCUCCUAGCGCCUUGUCUUUCACCCUGGUGUUUCCACCACCUUGGAACAACAAACCCUUUAACUUGUUACCUUGGGGUUUUUAGCUCCUCUAUCCCCAGAUGGCAGUGCCCCGAGGGCAGGCUGGCCCUUCUGGAAUUAUGUUCAGACCCAUGUGGAUGCUUUCCUCAUGGAAGAGUCCAAAGCUCUCCUCAGAUUCUGAAGGGGAUACCCAGGGCCAGGGACGUGACCCCCUUUAGCCGGCAAGUCCGAUCUCCCGCUUCUCUUUGAGGGGAGGGGACUUCUCUGGGAGCCUCCUUUGGUGCUUUGUCCUUUAGAAAGAAAGCCUUAGAAGCCAAAGACGGGGCGGGGAAAAGGAACCGACAUUUAUUGAAGGUUCCCAAUGUAUCAGAUAUUGUGCCAAACGCUUCACACAUCAUUUCAUUUAAUCCCAAUGUCUCAUCAGAACGCCUAUGUGUGCCCAAUUCACAGAAAAGGGAACUGAGGCACCAAGAGGUAAAAGGAUUCCUGCAUUAAGCAGGCCCAUUUAUUUAACAGCCUGCAGACUGUAUUAUGUGUAUUUUUCUGAUGCUUUGACAUCUGGGGCCUUCCUGGCCCUGGAGUGCCUAGAGAUAGCCAGCCCCGUGACUGUGAUCCCUCCUUUCAUAGGCAACCGAAUCAUCCAGAGGCCACACCCACCACCUCCUCUGCAGAACUCCACCUCUGAGCCACUGGCCACCUGCCCUGGUCACUGAAGGGCCAGGUACCCAACAACUAGAACCAGUCCUAUGCCCCAAUACCCCCUGAAAUUAUCCACAGCCGCCAAUCCCCAGUCUAAUGCCCCGUCCCCUGUUCUUCCCACAGAAACCAUGAUGAAACCUCUUACCUACAGUCCUCCCCUCCCUUCCUCUGCCUUCUGAACCUCCAGGUGCUUCCCUGGCCACUCACCCGUGGAUUCAUGGUACGCCCCUCCUGGUGAGGGAGAUAGAGAAAGGCUGAGGCAGCGAGGGCAAGAUGGCACCAGUGAGGAGGUCGGGCCAGGGCCAGACCAAAGGAGCAUGGAGAGG
rnacentral:lncRNA from 1 species